rnacentral:rRNA from 1 species
AUGGCAUCCCCUCAAUCAAACAAGUCUUCAUAUCGACCGGAUUGUGCAACCAAACGUGCACUAGUACAGAACACCGAGAAACACUUCACCUCAUCCGUGCAGCAAUGGGUGUUGGAUAUUUCUGUAGAUUUCAGUCAGACAUCCUUGGAGGAACUCUCUGUCCAUUCAGUUGCAGGCUAUCCUUUCAGUUGUUUCUUAGGCGCACAAUUGCAGUCCGGGCGUCCACUGGAUCAGGCACCAUCUGAUAUUAAAGGAUUAAUUGAGUUAGAAUUUCUCGGUGUGUAUACUCGGUUUGACCAUUUGGUGUCAUUUGCUGCUGCUAUUCCUGUGUCAUGUACAGUCUUCUCCAGCCAUGAGUCAAUGAGGCUUCAUCACAGGUUGACACAAUGCAUGCGACAUCAGGUUCGCCAAUUGCAUUUUCCUGGACAGACUAAGUGGCCAUGCACAUUUAGAACUGACAAGCGAAAGUCAUGGUAUCCACCUCAAGGCCUCUUGUGA